rnacentral:rRNA from 1 species
AUGGAUCAUGAGGUGCUGGUGCAUAUACUUGAUGGAAGAGAGAAGCCGACAAACCUACCAUUCACGCUUUUGAAGAACAUCACAGAAAAUUUCUCGGAUGAUCGAGAAAUAGGCCAUGGUGGAUUCGCAAUAGUUUAUAAGGGAGUGCUCCCAAAUGGGAGCGACGUCGCGGUAAAGAGGAUAAGGAGCACGCAUUCAAUCAAAGAGACAUUAUUUUAUCGUGAACUUGACUGCCUGUUGAACACUGAACACAAAAAUGUGGUACGGUUUCUUGGCUACUGUGCUAACACAGAGCAAAUAGCCAUACAGAUCGAAGGAUUGAAAGAACAUGUUUACGCUGAGCUGAGAGAAAGACUACUUUGUUUUGAGUAUAUAAGCAAUGGAAGUCUAUAUAUUACCGAUGAAUUACGGGGAUUUGAAUGGAACACACGUUAUGAAAUAAUUAAAGGCAUUUGUGAAGGUUUGUAUCAUCUGCACAAGGAAAAGCAAAUAUAUCAUCUGUCUUUGAAACCUGACGAUAUACUAUUAGACAAUGAUAUGGUGCCGAAAAUCACGGACUUCGGUUUAUCGAGACUUGAUGAAAAGUCACAAACCAUGAGCAACGACCGUUUCAGAUCAUUAGGAUAUUGUGCUCCUGAAUACGCGUAUGAGGGAAAGAUGUCAUUCAAAUCAGACAUGUACAGUUUAGGCUGUAUAAUUAUCGAACUGGUGACGGGACAACGGGAGGUCCCUAACAAAAGCAAUGUACUUAGGAGAUGGAGGCACAGAUGGAAGAAAACAGGGAAGGAAACACCGUUGGUUUCCCAACAAGUAGCAAAAUGUCUUGAAAUUGGGUUACAAUGCCAGGAAAUUGACCCAUCCAAACGACCUUAUAUGUGGGAUAUGAUACAUAUUACAAGAGAAAUUGAAGGUGCUAAUGGAAAAAUCAGCAAUGCCGAUGAAAAUACAUCGAGACAGAUUUGCCCUUACUCUGAAGGUGAUAUGCUUCGAAUUGAGCCACUCGAACUACAUUUUCCUCUUGAGGUUAACAAACAAAUGGCAUGCACACUUCGGCUAAGCAAUGGGACGGGCUCUUACAUUGCCUUCAUUGUUGAAAACUUGAGCGGAUUGCAAUACUCAACACAACAACCUAAAGGCCUUAUGCCACCACAAUCCAAAUGUAAUGUUGAAAUAACAGUGCAGCUGGAGGGGAAGGCUCAGAAAUAUAGGCAUCAUACGAAUGAACUUACUGUGUGGAGCACAAAAGUGAAUGAUUGCUACGCAGUUGAGGAUAUAACAAUAAGCAUGUUCUUGAAGGAGGUGGUCAACGUGGUUGAUCAGGUAAAUUUGGAUGUGGUUUUUGACGCCGAACCACAAGAAGCAAGUGGUAAAACCAGUGAGGUAAGCCCUUACAUGAAGGAUGAUAUGCUUGGGAUCGAGCCACUCGAGCUUCACUUCCCUUUUCAGCUUAACAAGGAGAUAUCAAGCUCGGUUGAGUUAAGUAACGAGACAGGUGCUUACAUUGCCUUCAACAUCAAAACUACGAGCCCCCUGCCAUACUGCACAGAGCCAAACAAAGGUGUUGUGCUGCCAUGGUCCAAGUGCAUUGUCACGAUAACAUUGCAAUCUCAGCAUAAGGCACCGGAACAUAUGCAGCAAGCCUACGCAUUCAUCUUGCAGAGCACGAAAGUAAAAGAUGGCCUUGCGGCUGAGGAUAUAUCUACCGACAUGUUCAAAGUAGAGGGAGGGAACAUGGUUGAUGAGGUUAAUUUAGAUGUUGUUUUGAUGCACAACUACAAAGUCAGCCUCUGGAUGUCGACAAGCUCGACCUCUCCUUCCCAUUUGAACCCGACAAUUUGA